rnacentral:rRNA from 1 species
UACGUAGGCAGCAAGCGUUGUUCGGAGUUACUGGGCGUAAAGGGUGUGUAGGCGGUUGUUUAAGUUUGGUGUGAAAUCUCCCGGCUCAACUGGGAGGGUGCGCCGAAUACUGAAUGACUCGAGUGCGGGAGAGGAAAGUGGAAUUCCUGGUGUAGCGGUGGAAAUGCGUAGAUAUCAGGAGGAACACCGGUGGCGAAGGCGGGUCUCUGGGCCGAAACUGACGCUGAGGAGCGAAAGCGUGGGGAGCAAACAGG